AACAAACAAGAGGCAAUACAGAUAAAAACGCUCAGGAUGCACAGUUUAAAUGGUAAAACCUGGCAACAAGCACGAGUGUGAUGUGUCUUUUGUGAUUGAGUGGACUCUUUGAGGUGACUGAUGAAAUGUUUUUGAACGAGUCAAUUUGAGGUGACUGAUGUGUCGUUUGUGAAUGAAUCGACUCUUUGAGGUGACUGAUGUGUCGUAUGUGAAUGAGUCGACUCUUUGAGGUGACUGAUGUGUCGUUUGUGAAUGAGUCUAAUCUUUGAGGUGACGUGUCGUGUCGUUUGUGAAUGAAUCGACUCUUUGAGGUGACUGAAGUGUGGUUUGUGAAUGAGUCUAAUCUUUGAGGUGACUGACGUGUCGUUUGAGAAUGAGUCGACUCUUUGAGGUGACUGACGUGUCGUUUGUGAAUGAGUCGACUCUUUGAGGUGACUGACGUGUCGUUUGUGAAUGAGUCGACUCUUUGAGGUGACUGACGUGUCGUUUGUGAAUGAGUCGACUCUUUAAUAUGAUUGAUGUUUAGUUUGCUGAACGAGACGCCUCUAUGAGUCAGGUCCUUUUAGGUUAUGCUAAGAGACAACACAUUUAUGUGCUGUAAGGAUAUCCUGUUAAAUGGAAAUGAAUUUACUUAAUGAAGCAAAGAAACAGCAGGCACAAUAACAUUAAAGCAGAGAUGCUUACUAUAGGCUAUUUAUCGAUGCACACGCUAGUUGUGGUACUUUGCUGAAUUUUCCAAUGAUUUAACCAGAUUUUACAAAACACAAUCAUGUUAUUUUACUAAUUAGACAGAAGGGUAAGACUUUAGGAAAUAAAAUAAGCAUUUUUAAAGCUUGAAAUGAGUAGAAAUGGAGAGAUCCAAGUUUAAUAAUCUUAUCUUUUUGGUUUAUUGUAAUCUUAUAACAGGAGGAACUAGAUAAAGUUGACCUUAUUUAAGGUUUUCACUUGCUAAGGUCAUUAAAAUAUCUUCCAGCUCUGAGAAAAAUGGUAAUGAGCUGUUUGAGAGUCGAGGUGAGACGUG
ensembl:lncRNA